rnacentral:rRNA from 1 species
AGAGUUUGAUCAUGGCUCAGAGCGAACGCUGGCGGCGUGCUUAACACAUGCAAGUCGAGGGAGAACGGAGGGCUUCGGCCUUCCUAGUAAACCGGCGCACGGGUGAGUAACACGUAGGUAACCUACCCCCGAGAUCGGGAUAACCUGUCGAAAGAUAGGCUAAUACCGGAUAAGACCACGAUGGUUUCGGCCAUUGCGGUCAAAGGAUGGCCUCUAUUUAUAAGCUAUCGCUUGGGGAUGGGCCUGCGCACCAUUAGCUAGUUGGUGAGGUAACGGCUCACCAAGGCUACGAUGGUUAGUUGGUCUGAGAGGAUGACCAGCCACACUGGGACUGAGACACGGCCCAGACUCCUACGGGAGGCAGCAGUGGGGAAUAUUGCGCAAUGGGGGAAACCCUGACGCAGCGACGCCGCGUGGGUGAUGAAGGCCUUCGGGUCGUAAAGCCCUGUCGGAGGGGAAGAAGGACUGUCGUGCAAAUAGUGCGAUGGUUGACGGUACCCUAGAGAGAC